CCACUGUAUUAUAAAAAAUACGUCACCAUCUGAACACUACAUAUAUUUCUAAAUAAUCUAUCUGUCUGAUAACAAAAAUUGAUGUCGGGAUCUUCAAAUUGAUGUGGUACAAGUUCCUCGUUUUUCGAAUGCGAUUUUAGUUUAAGAUUAUAUAACCGGAUCAUGACGAGGACUAAUCGGUGUUACGAUUUGAUUCGUGAUGUGGGUCAAUUGUCUGGCUACACGAUAUCUCUUUUUAGUAAGAAUUACAACGCUAUUGGUUACUGUAAGUUUACCUUGCAUAAUAACUAAGAACUGUUUCCUAAUAAUAUUAUAGAUUUAG